UACAGAGGGUGCAAGCGUUAAUCGGAAUUACUGGGCGUAAAGCGAGCGUAGGUGGCUUGAUAAGUCAGAUGUGAAAUCCCCGGGCUUAACCUGGGACUGCAUCUGAUACUGUUAGGCUAGAGUAGGUGAGAGGAAGGUAGAAUUCCAGGUGUAGCGGUGAAAUGCGUAGAGAUCUGGAGGAAUACCGAUGGCGAAGGCAGCCUUCUGGCAUCAUACUGACACUGAGGUUCGAAAGCGUGGGUAGCAAACAGGA
rnacentral:rRNA from 1 species